rnacentral:antisense_RNA from 1 species
GGCGUUUGCAGCGUGAGCUUCGCCCGAUCGGCGAUGACCCCUCCGAUGUAGUAGGGAAGGCCGCAGUUGGCGUACGAGACGUAUCCGCUCCGCUCGAGGAUGACGAUCUCGGCGAAUUCGUCGAGGCGGCGCAAUCUUGCGGCUGCCGUGGCGCCCCCUGCGACGCCCC